UACAGGGGGGGCAAGCGUUGUUCGGAAUUACUGGGCGUAAAGGGCUCGUAGGUGGCCAAUUAAGUCGGACGUGAAAUCCCUCAGCUUAACUGGGGAACUGCAUCCGAUACUGGAUGGCUUGAGUUUGGGAGAGGGAUGCGGAAUUCCAGGUGUAGCGGUGAAAUGCGUAGAUAUCUGGAGGAACACCGGUGGCGAAGGCGGCAUCCUGGACCAACGCUGACACUGAGGUGCGAAAGCGUGGGGAGCAAACAGG
rnacentral:rRNA from 1 species